rnacentral:rRNA from 1 species
UGAGGGAUCUUGCGCAAUGGGGGAAACCCUGACGCAGCAACGCCGCGUGAGUGAGGAAGGUCUUCGGAUCGUAAAGCUCUGUCAGUUGGAAAGAAAUGUCUGAGAGUCAAUCCCUUUCAGGCUUGACGGUACCAACAGAGGAAGCACCGGCUAACUCCGUGCCAGCAGCCGCGGUAAUACGGGGGGUGCAAGCGUUGUUCGGAGUUAUUGGGCGUAAAGAGCGUGUAGGCGGCCGGAUAUGUCAGAUGUGAAAGCCCCGGGCUUAACCCGGGAAGUGCAUUUGAAACUGUCCGGCUCGAGUAGGGGAGAGGGAAGUGGAAUUCCUGGUGUAGAGGUGAAAUUCGUAGAUAUCAGGAGGAACACCGGUGGCGAAGGCGACUUCCUGGCCCUAUACUGACGCUGAGACGCGAGAGCGUGGGUAGCAAACAG